CAAAGUUGAUCGUCUUUAUGACGUCGAUAUUCGACGUCAUAAACACCAAAGUUGAUCGUGUUUAUGACGUCGAAUAUCGACGUCAUAAACACCAAAG
rnacentral:miRNA from 1 species